rnacentral:lncRNA from 1 species
CUGUAUUGGUGGAAAGCAGGGUCUUACUGUGUGUAGGAAGUGAAAAGCACUUUUUAAGUGAGUGAUAACAAUUUUAUCUGCCACAGGUUCUCCCAGGCAGGGAACACUGCCAGUGACAGUGUGCAAGUUCAUGUAGCUCUUCUGUGAAUUGAACCUUCUUUCUGACUGUGUUCUUACAUUUCAGUGAGGAGGAAACAGUCCUGCCUCCCCUGUUGCUUCCUUAUUUUCAGACCUGUAGGAUUCAAGAGCUCCCUCCUCCUUUUCCAAGCCUGGUGAUUUUGCUGCAUGGAUCUCAAGGCAUCUGCAUUGAGCACCUCGAGCCAAGGUCUGUGUUGCUGAGAGGGGUAGAGAGAGAUGCUCCAGGGAUGAAACACCACGGUCCUCGCCUGACAGCCAGCCUUGUUCUAUUAAAAACCACAUCCUGCAUGUGUGGCUUGCCUGAGGCAAAGCCCAGCAUCAAGGCAGCGUGUCCACCCCGAAACCAGCUCCUUGCAAAUUGGAGUAGGCACCUUGUUCCCUGUCAGCUCCCUGAACGCACAGACAACGCUGCUGAGCUCCUCCUGAAACUCUGAAUGUCCCAUUUCUGGGCUGGGGGUUGGGUUGGCUGGUCCCUCCACCACUGUGAGCCACAUAAAACACAUUAUUGUGCAACAGCACAUCUUUUUCAAAGCUAUAAAAGAUGCUUUGCUGCCUCAGUGAUUUUUUUUUAACUGCAAAAAGUGGUUAUUUGAGUUUUUUGCUUCUUCAUGCCAUGAAAGCUUCCUGAGUAGAAAUAUCUGGUGGCUGUGAGUUCAAGCUAAACUACUUCAAAUUAUAAACAAGAGUCUUAAACCAUGGAAAAGUCUUACAAAUGGAAAUGCUUUUCAACUCUCACUUUUUAAAAAUUGCUACUGGAUGGGGUCAGGUAGGUUUCCUGAAGUGUUUGACCUGGAAUAAACAAAAAUGAAAUAUUGGAAAGCUGUGAGAA